rnacentral:rRNA from 1 species
UACGUAGGGUGCGAGCGUUGUCCGGAAUUAUUGGGCGUAAAGAGCUCGUAGGCGGUCUGUCGCGUCGGUCGUGAAAACUUGGGGCUUAACCCUGAGCUUGCGGUCGAUACGGGCAUGACUGGAGUUCGGCAGGGGAGACUGGAAUUCCUGGUGUAGCGGUGAAAUGCGUAGAGAUCGGGAGGAACACCAGAGGCGAAGGCGGCGACCUGGACAGUGACUGACGCUGAGGCACGAAGGUCAGGGGAGCAACGGG